AUUGAACGCUAGCGGGAUGCCUUACACAUGCAAGUCGAACGGAGUGGCGAACGGGUGAGUAAUGUAUCGGAACGUGCCCAGUAGCGGGGGAUAACUACGCGAAAGCGUAGCUAUUACCGCAAACUAUUGGAGCGGCCGAUAUCGGAUUGGCUAGUUGGCGGGGUAACGGCUCACCAAGGCGACGAUCCGGAGCUGGUUUGAGAGGACGACCAGCCACACUGGAACUGAGACACGGCCCAGACUCCUCCGGGAGGCAGCGGUGGGGAAUUUUGGACAAUGGGGGAAAGCCUGAUCCAGCCAUCCCGCGUGUGCGAUGAAGGCCUUCGGGUUGUAAAGGACUUUUGGCAGGGAGGCGGUACCGGCAGAAUAAGCACCGGCUAACUACGUGCCAACCGCCGCGGUAAUUC
rnacentral:rRNA from 1 species